UCACAAACGAUAAGUGUGAGUCUCUUGGUAAUUCAUUCAUAUUAAUUUAAUCAGUUUAUUUAUAUGAAUGAAGUACCGAGAGAUUCGUACGUAUUGUUUGUCAGUC